rnacentral:rRNA from 1 species
AGUGAACGCUGGCGGUAGGCCUAACACAUGCAAGUCGAACGGCAGCACAGUAAGAGCUUGCUCUUACGGGUGGCGAGUGGCGGACGGGUGAGGAAUACAUCGGAAUCUACUCUUUCGUGGGGGAUAACGCAGGGAAACUUACGCUAAUACCGCAUACGACCUACGGGUGAAAGCAGGGGAUCUUCGGACCUUGCGCGAUUGUAUGAGCCGAUGUCGGAUUCGCUAGUUGGCGGGGUAGAGGCCCACCAAGGCGACGAUCCGUAGCUGCUCUGAGAGGAUGAUCAGCCACACUGGAUGUGAGACACGGUCCAGACUCCUGCGGGGGGCAGCAGUGGGGAAUAUUACACAAUGGGGGAGAGCCUGAUCCAGCCCUACCGCGUGGGUGAAGAAGGACUUCGGGUUGUAAAGCCCUUUUGUUGGGAGAGAAAAGCAGCAGGUUAAUACCCCGCUGUUCUGACGGUACCCAAAGAAUAAGCACCGGCUAACUUCGUG